GUAGAGGCCAUUCAUGUUACAUUCUGACAGAGCUUAAAGAACUUGUCUAUAUUUUGUUGAUACUGAGACUUUGUAGGAGUUUGAGUUUAAAGGUGAUAAACUAAUUAAUCCAGUGGAGAACAUUUCAAGGCAGCACAGCAUACAAACAGUGGCAGAACUAUUACUGGCUACAUUUAGCAGGUAUUCAUGAGAAUAAGUAAAAAAUAAAAUUAAAAUAAAUAAAUAAAAAUAGUAGAAUGAAAAUAUUUGUAAAACUUUCAGUUUGGCCAGAAAAGGAGCAUGUUUAAAGUUGCAGCCAAAGAGAGUGUGGUUGCUGAAGAGACCAAUGUCAUUAAACAGAAACUAUUUUUCAUUUGGUCAAUAGGAAAGAUGCUUUGAGAGCAUCUCCGGAAUUAGCAAGACUCCACCCAUUACAGGCUCAAGGGUACAAAAGUGUAAUCUUGUUUCAAAGACUUUGCUUUGAGAAGGGAACUUGGUGGCACCCUGCUUAGGCAGGGCCACGUAGGGAACUGUUUCCCCAGCAUUCUUUCCCCUACCUUCAGCCAUACAGGCACUCAGAGGUGGCUUCAGUCAUGCUCCAAGCCGACCUGGCUAUUUCUCCAGCAGGUGGCAGACCUUGGCAUCAUCUGUGUGAUGCUGGUUUUGCAGGUAUACAGAGUUAUGAGAUCAUGAAAGCCUCUACCAAUAUUUCAAAGAAAAGUAGGAGGCCAGGCAGUAUGUGGCAGGGUCAGGGCCUCUGCAAGCAUCCCCUGACACAGUGAAUUAUGAAGCUGUAGGAGUAAAGCCAAAGCUAUAAUGGAUACCCCCAGGAAAUUGUAGACGCCAGGAAUGAGGACUGUCUGCCAAGGCAGGCAGCAAGCACAGCCAACCCAAGAGAGAGGACAUGAGGUCUGCAGUUAGAAAGGCCACAGGGGAGGGCUUCCUAAGUCCUUUGGAGUUCAUAUCAUGUCACUGUGUGACCUGGAUACGGGAAUUGGAGUUACAGAGUUUAAUAUUUGCUUUGCUGGGUUUUGUUCUUGCUUUGGCCAGUUUUUUUCUUGUUUUCCUAUUUCUCUCCUUUGAAAUGGGAAUGUUUACCUUGCCUUAUUGUAUCUUUGAAAACUAUAACUCUCUGUAUUAUUUUACGGGGGCUCACAGCUAAGAGUAUGCUGUAAGUCUCAGAAGAGAUUUUGAACUUGGAUUUUUGAGCUACACUGGAACUGUUAUGAGAAUAGGAAAUCCUGGAGAUAGUUGAAUGAGUUUUGCAUUUUAGGAUCAACGUGAGACUAUGAGGGUCAUAAGGUCAAUGUUAUUGUUUGCAUCUUGAAUGUCCCUCAAAAGUACAUAUGUUAAAUCUUGUUCUCCAGCUAAUGGUCCUUUUGAGAGGUAGUGGGAACUAUAGGAAGUAGGGCCAAGUUGGUGGUAGUAGGUCUUUAGGUGUAUGUCCUAGAAGGGGAUAAUGGAAUCCAAGACACCUCUUCUCCCUCUUUGCUUCCUGACCACCAUGAGGUGGAACAUCUUUGCUCAGCCACAUGCUUUUCACCAUGAUGUUUUGCUUUGCCACAGGCCCCAAGACAAUGAAGAGAACUGUGGAGAACUGGAACUUGUGAUCUUGCUGCCUCAGCUAUCCUGAAACCAUGAACCAAAAUAAACAUUUUCUCCUUUUAAGUUUAUUGGUUCAGUAUUUUAUCACAGUUGAUGGAAAGCUGAUUAAUACAUUACCUGAGUAAUAGAUACAGACUUCUGUCCAAAGAAGUUUGAUUUAUUUUAUAGAAAAAUGGUUUUAAAAUGAAGAUCUGGGUGCUAAAUGUGCUCUACAUUUGGUUUUAUUUGAUAUAAUUUUGUAUAAUCCAUCACAUGCUUUUAAAGAUCUGGUUUCAUUCAUUCAGAUUGAG
rnacentral:lncRNA from 1 species